UCUCCCUACCUAAAUCCUAACAAUCGCUACUUACAAAUUAUUCUCUCUUGGAAGAAAAAGGAAAAUCACCAUCCAACCACUCUCUCUCAAAAAUCUUUUCAAUUACACCCCCGUGAAGCAACCCACUUGUAUAAUCACCAUCAAUCAACAUGUGUGGCGGUGCUAUCAUCUCAGACUUCAUCGCUCCGACAACCACCGCUCGAUCUUCUCGGCGGUUGACCUCGGGCUUUGAGUGGCUUGGGCUGAAGAAACCCUUCAACAACAAGCACUUGAAGCCAGUUGUUGCUGAUCCCGAAGAUGAUUUUGAGGCUGAUUUUCAAGAGUUUAAGGAUGAGUCUGAUGCCGACGAGGAUUAUGAUGUCUUUGCUGAUGCCAAGCCUUUUGCUUUCUCUGCUAGUGCUUCUGAACCUGCUAAAAAACGUGGGCUCCCUCGUGGUUCUACUGCUGUUAAAUCUGCUGGAUCCAGUGGACUUGCUGAAAAAUCAGCAAAGAGGAAGAGAAAGAACCAGUUUAGAGGAAUUAGGCAGCGUCCAUGGGGCAAAUGGGCUGCUGAGAUUCGUGAUCCCAGGAAAGGGGUACGUGUCUGGUUGGGAACAUUCAAUACUGCAGAAGAAGCUGCUAGAGCAUAUGAUUCUGAGGCACGUAGAAUUCGUGGCAAGAAAGCUAAGGUGAACUUCCCCGAUGAAGCUCCAUGCGCUUCAGCAAAGCAUCCAAUUAAGGAAAACUCACAGAAACGACUUACAAAGGCAAAUUUAAGCCAGGAUUUUAGUUACUUGAGCAACUCAGAAACGGAUUAUAAUAAUAUGGGCUUUGUGGAAGAGAAACCACAAGUGAGCCAGUUUGGAAUAAUGAAUUCUUUCCCGGCCAGUGGAGAUUCUGGGGUGACGCCCUUAACUCCUGACAAUGCUUCUAUGUAUUUCAAUUCUGACAAGGAGAGCAACUCAUUUGAUUGUGACUUUGGGUGGGGAGAACAAGGUCCUGAAAUCUUGUCUGUUCUUGCAGCAACUCCAGAAGUUGAUGAAUCCGUCUUUGUGGAUGCUAAUCCUAAGGAGUUGGAAUCAUUCUCUGAGAAUACAGCGCCUGUUGAAGAGAAGAAUGGAAAAUCUCUGUCCGAAGAGUUGCUGGCUUUUGAUAAUCAGUUGAUGAACCUUCAGAUGCCAGAUCUUGUGGGUAACUGGGAGGCUUCUCUUGAUAGCUUCCUUAAUGGAGACACAACUCAGGAUGGCACAAACGCAGUGGACUUGUGGAGCUUCGAAGACUUCCCCUCCAUGGUUGGGGGAGUUUAUUGAGCCAGCUUUUCUGUGCUUGCUAGGUUUUGUAAAUAAUAAGGCUACAUGUUAGUGAGUUUAAUCUCUAUUUUUCAUCUCUACAAGUUAUUGUUUUACUCUAUUAUGAGUUUCAUCGAUAAUUGCCUCCUCUCAUUUUUGCUGCUCGUAGGAAUGGUUGUUUAUCUGAGAUGGGAAUGGAGUACAACCCAGCUGAACAUGCUUAAAGCCUCGGUGUGGGAGAAGCAUUCUCAGGAGCUUUUUCCAUAUAAAAGUGGAAAGGUGAUGGUGCUUGUGAAGGGUCAUCAUCUUUUUCCCUGAUAGGCAUUUUUAAACACAGAAGGACAUGGAUCAUCUAGGGUCAUCUCCUUCUCCUUGAAUGAGUCGUAUUGUUUUAAAUUCAAGCUCCUGCGUGGUGACUUGAGCUCGGGAGAUUGAGCCAAUUUCCCAACCACCGACCGCGUGGCACUUAGUAAAAGGUGAUUGUUUUCAGAAGGUUGUCGUGAUAUGCCCAUGUCCCAUCAUCUUCCAGCUUUAAAGCCAAGUAGCUCCAAAACUGAGGUGGCGGACUAGAGGAGGGAUCUGGGAUGGGGCCCACUGUAAUAUUUUAGGAGAUUACAAUAUCUAGAAUUGCGAGCCCUCUCUGAGACUGAAAUAAUAGUGGAAAAGAAAAUGCCAAAUAAAAUGGGAUUCGACGA